ACGAACGCUGGCGGCGUGGAUAAGACAUGCAAGUCGAACGGGAGAAUUGCUAGCUUGCUAAUAAUUCUCUAGUGGCGCACGGGUGAGUAACACGUGAGUAACCUGCCUCUUAGUGGGGGAUAGCCCUGGGAAACCGGGAUUAAUACCGCAUACGAUUGAAAGAUCAAAGCAGCAAUGCGCUAGGAGAUGGGCUCGCGGCCUAUUAGUUAGUUGGUGAGGUAACGGCUCACCAAGGCGAUGACGGGUAGCCGGUCUGAGAGGAUGUCCGGCCACACUGGAACUGAGACACGGUCCAGACACCUACGGGUGGCAGCAGUCGAGAAUCAUUCACAAUGGGGGCAACCCUGAUGGUGCGACGCCGCGUGGGGGAAUGAAGGUCUUCGGAUUGUAAACCCCUGUCAUGUGGGAGCAAAUUAAAAAGAUAGUACCACAAGAGGAAGAGACGGCUAACUCUGUGCCAGCAGCCGCGGUAAUACAGAGGUCUCAAGCGUUGUUCGGAAUCACUGGGCGUAAAGCGUGCGUAGGCUGUUUCGUAAGUCGUGUGUGAAAGGCAGGGGCUCAACCCCUGGAUUGCACAUGAUACUGCGAGACUAGAGUAAUGGAGGGGGAACCGGAAUUCUCGGUGUAGCAGUGAAAUGCGUAGAUAUCGAGAGGAACACUCGUGGCGAAGGCGGGUUCCUGGACAUUAACUGACGCUGAGGCACGAAGGCCAGGGGAGCGAAAGGGAUUAGAUACCCCUGUAGUCCUGGCAGUAAACGGUGCACGCUUGGUGUGCGGGGAAUCGACCCCCUGCGUGCCGGAGCUAACGCGUUAAGCGUGCCGCCUGGGGAGUACGGUCGCAAGAUUAAAACUCAAAGAAAUUGACGGGGACCCGCACAAGCGGUGGAGUAUGUGGCUUAAUUCGAUGCAACGCGAAGAACCUUACCUGGGCUUGACAUGUAAUGAACAACAUGUGAAAGCAUGCGACUCUUCGGAGGCGUUACACAGGUGCUGCAUGGCCGUCGUCAGCUCGUGUCGUGAGAUGUUUGGUUAAGUCCAGCAACGAGCGCAACCCCUGUUGCCAGUUACCAGCACGUCAAGGUGGGGACUCUGGCGAGACUGCCCAGAUCAACUGGGAGGUAGGUGGGGACGACGUCAGGUCAGUAUGGCCCUUAUGCCCAGGGCUGCACACGUACUACAAUGCCCAGUACAGAGGGGGCCGAAGCCGCGAGGCGGAGGAAAUCCUGAAAACUGGGCCCAGUUCGGACUGUAGGCUGCAACCCGCCUACACGAAGCCGGAAUCGCUAGUAAUGGCGCAUCAGCUACGGCGCCGUGAAUACGUUCCCGGGUCUUGUACACACCGCCCGUCACAUCAUGGAAGCCGGUCGCACCCGAAGUAUCUGAAGCCAACCGCAAGGAGGCAGGGUCCUAAGGUGAGACUGGUAACUGGGAUG
rnacentral:rRNA from 1 species